rnacentral:rRNA from 1 species
GAUGAACGCUGGCGGCGUGCCUAAUACAUGCAAGUCGAGCGAACGGAUGAGAAGCUUGCUCCUCUGACGUUAGCGGCGGACGGGUGAGUAACACGUGGAUAACCUACCUAUAAGACUGGGAUAACUUCGGGAAACCGGAGCUAAUACCGGAUAAUAUAUUGAACCGCAUGGUUCAAUAGUGAAAGACGGUUUUGCUGUCACUUAUAGAUGGAUCCGCGCUGCAUUAGCUAGUUGGUAAGGUAACGGCUUACCAAGGCAACGAUGCGUAGCCGACCUGAGAGGGUGAUCGGCCACACUGGAACUGAGACACGGUCCAGACUCCUACGGGAGGCAGCAGUAGGGAAUCUUCCGCAAUGGGCGAAAGCCUGACGGAGCAACGCCGCGUGAGUGAUGAAGGUCUUCGGAUCGUAAAACUCUGUUAUUAGGGAAGAACAAAUGUGUAAGUAACUAUGCACGUCUUGACGGUACCUAAUCAGAAAGCCACGGCUAACUACGUG